rnacentral:lncRNA from 1 species
AACACACACAAUAGUUAACAGAAUACUCUAUUCUGUCGAAUAUUACAACCAUUACAAUACAAUACAAGCAUUAUAACAUAAUCAUGCAAUUUUCCACAACAUGAUACAACAGGACUGAUACAACGGAACUGAUACAACAGGACUGAUACAACAGGACUGAUACAGGACUGAUACAGGACUGAUACAACAGGACCGAUACAACAGGACUGAGACAACAGGACUAAUACAACAGGACUGAUACAACGGAACUGAUACAACAGGACUGAUACAAAACAACUGAUACAACAGGACUGAUACAACGGAACUGAUACAACAGGACUGAUACAACAGGACUGAUACAGGACUAAGACAACAGGACUAAUACAACAGGACUGAUACAACAGGACUGAUACAGGACUAAGACAACAGGACUGAUACAACAGGACUAAUACAACAGGACUGAUACAACAGGACUGAUACAGGACUGAUACAGGACUGAUACAACAGGACUGAUACAACAGGACUAAUACAACAGGACUGAUACAACAGGUCUGAUACAGAACUGAUACAACAGGACUAAUACAACGGGACUAAUACAGGACUGAUACAACAGGACUGAUACAACAGGACUGAUACAACAGGACUGAUACAGGACUGAUACAACAGGACUAAUACAACAGGACUGAUACAACAGGACUGAUACAACAGGACUGAUACAACAGGACUGAUACAACAGGACUGAUACAACAGGACUGAUACAACAGGACUAAUACAACAGGACUGAUACAACAGGACUGAUACAGGACUAAUACCACAGGACUGAUACAGGACUGAUACAACAGGACUGAUACAACAGGACUAAUACAACAGGAGUGAUACAACAGGACUAAUACAGGACUGAUACAGAACUGAUGCAGGACUGAUACAACAGGACUAAUACAACAGGACUGAUACAACAGGACUGAUACAACAGGACUGAUACAACAGGACUAAUACAACAGGACUGAUACAACAGGACUGAUACAACAGGACUGAUACAGGACUGAUACAACAGGACUAAUACAACAGGACUGAUAAAACAGGACUAAUACAACAGGACUGAUACAACAGGACUAAUACAACAGGACUAAUACAACAGGACUGAUACCACAGGACUGAUACAACAGGACUGAUACAGGACUGAUACAGAACUGAUACAGGACUGAUACAGCAGGACUAAUACAACAGGACUGAUACAACAGGACUGAUACAACAGGACUGAUACAACAGGACUGAUACAGGACUGAUACAACAGGACUGAUACCACAGGACUGAUACCACAGGACUGAUACAACAGGACUGAUACAACAGGACUAAUACAACAGGACUGAUACAGAACUGAUACAACAGGACUAAUACAGGACUGAUACAGAACUGAUGCAGGACUGAUACAACAGGACUAAUACAACAGGACUGAUACAACAGGACUGAUACAACAGGACUGAUACAACAGGACUGAUAAAGGACUAAUACCACAGGACUGAUACAACAGGACUGAUACAACAGGACUAAUACAACAGGACUGAUACAACAGGACUGAUACAGGACUGAUACAACAGGACUGAUACAACAGGACUGAUACAACAGGACUAAUACAACAGGACUGAUACAACAGGACUGAUACAACAGGACUAAUACAACAGGACUGAUACAACAGGACUGAUAUAGGACUGAUACAGGACUGAUACAACAGGACUGAUACAGGACUGAUACAACAGGAUUGAUACAACAGGACUAUUACAAAAGGACUGAUACAGGACUGAUACAACAGGACUGAUACAGGACUGAAACAACAGGACUGAUACAACAGGACUGAUACAACAGGACUGAUAAAGGACUAAUACAACAGGACUGAUACAACAGGACUGAUACAACAGGACUAAUACAACAGGACUGAUACAACAGGACUGAUACAACAUGACUGAUACAACAGGACUGAUACAGGACUGAUACAACAGGACUAAUACAAAAGGACUGAUACAACAGGACUGAUACAGGACU